rnacentral:rRNA from 1 species
UUUUGUAUUUAAAACCCACACUUUAAUAACUUUUAAAUCAUACAUUAUGAUAAAAAUAAAGAUCACUUUCAACAACGGAUCUCUUGGCUCUCGCAUCGAUGAAGAACGUAGCGAAGUGCGAUAAGUAAUGUGAAUUGCAGAAUUCCGUGAGUCAUCGAAUCUUUGAACGCAAAUUGCACUCUCUGGUAUUCCGGGGAGUAUGCCUGUUUGAGGGUCAGUUUAAAUAAAAAUCGAUGUGUCGCUUUUGUGACGCUUCGGAAUUGGGUCACCUUGAUCUCUGGAUUAAGAGGCCUAAAAUUGAUACCUUUCCGAGCAUCUUGGACGUACGUAACCUCUCAAGUGCCGGAUCUUUUACUAGGUAUGACCAUGCUGUGCGUGGCCUCGUAUCUAUAACGUGUAUUCAUAUUUUGACCUCAAAUCAGGUAGGAACACCCGCUGAACUUAAGCAUAUCAAUAAGCGGAGGAAAAGAAAAUAACAAUGAUUCCCCUAGUAACUGCGAGUGAAGAGGGACAAGCUCAAAUUUUAAAUCUGUUAGGUUAUUACCUGACCGAGUUGUAAUUUGAAGAGGCGAUUUCCGCGUUUUUUGAUCAGUCCAAGUCCUUUGGGAUAAGGCAUCAUGGAGGGUGAGAAUCCCGCUCGGCUGAUCAGAAUUCGUUUACGAUCCGUCCUCAAGAGUCAAGUUGUUUGGGAUUGCAGCU